rnacentral:lncRNA from 1 species
AGUAUUUGGCAUGCUACUAGUUUUCUUGAUUUGUCAAGCCUUCAGCACCGGUCUCUAUCAUUCAGUGUUUAUUCAUUUGAUUAUUCAAUGUCAUGAUACGCAUCUGAUUCUUUCAUUGUAUAACAUUUCAGGGCUUAUACUCCGAGAAAUAAAGGAGUUUUGGCGGGUGGCGCUGCUUCUAUCCAUUCUCUUCUACCGAGAAACUGGAACUCCUGCUGGCACCCUCGACGAGCAGGACGAGCUGCGUCGGAGGAAAGAGAAAUACAUCAGAGCAGAGCGUUCCAUAACCGACCUAGGUAAAUUAACAAAUGAUGGUUGUGGAAUCUGCGGGUGGUUUUUUCCCCCAUACCUGCAAGCGCCGAGAUUUACUUUGUUCAUUCAUACGCUUGGUCAACUUUUCUGGUUUUACUGGUUCUCUGCUCCAGAUCUUGACGGGGUGUGGAAGCUGAAGCCGAUACUCG